CUUGACAACUCCAGAGAUGGAGCUGUUCCCUUCGGGGACAAGGUGACAGGUGGUGCAUGGUUGUCGUCAGCUCGUGUCGUGAGAUGUUGGGUUAAGUCCCGCAACGAGCGCAACCCUUAUUACUAGUUGCCAGCAUUCAGUUGGGCACUCUAGUGAGACUGCCGGUGACAAACCGGAGGAAGGUGGGGAUGACGUCAAAUCAUCAUGCCCCUUAUGACCUGGGCUACACACGUGCUACAAUGGCGUAUACAACGAGUUGCCAACCCGCGAGGGUGAGCUAAUCUCUUAAAGUACGUCUCAGUUCGGAUUGUAGGCUGCAACUCGCCUACAUGAAGUCGGAAUCGCUAGUAAUCGCGGAUCAGCACGCCGCGGUGAAUACGUUCCCGGGUCUUGUACACAC
rnacentral:rRNA from 1 species